rnacentral:rRNA from 1 species
CGGCACGCUUAACACAUGCAAGUCGAACGGAGAUAAUUUGAGUUACUUAGAUUAUCUUAGUGGCGGACGGGUGAGUAACACGUGAGCAACCUACCUCAGAGAGAGGGAUAGCUUCUGGAAACGGAUGGUAAUACCUCAUAACAUAACUGAACCGCAUGAUUUAGUUAUCAAAGAUUUAUCACUCUGAGAUGGGCUCGCGUCUGAUUAGAUAGUUGGUGAGGUAACGGCUCACCAAGUCGACGAUCAGUAGCCGGACUGAGAGGUUGAACGGCCACAUUGGGACUGAGACACGGCCCAGACUCCUACGGGAGGCAGCAGUGGGGAAUAUUGCACAAUGGGGGAAACCCUGAUGCAGCAACGCCACGUGUGGGAAGAAGCAUUUCGGUGUGUAAACCACUGUCAUGAGGGAAUAAGGCCCGCCUUCGGACGGGAUUGAAUGUACCUUGAGAGGAAGCACCGGCAAACUUCGUGCCAGCCGCCGC